rnacentral:rRNA from 1 species
GAUGAGCGCUGACAGAAUGCUUAACACAUGCAAGUCAACUUGAAUUUGGGUUUUUUCACUUAGAUUUGGGUGGCGGACGGGUGAGUAACGCGUAAAGAACUUGCCUCACAGCUAGGGACAACAUUUGGAAACGAAUGCUAAUACCUGAUAUUAUGAUUAUAAGGCAUCUUAGAAUUAUGAAAGCUAUAUGCGCUGUGAGAGAGCUUUGCGUCCCAUUAGCUAGUUGGAGAGGUAACGGCUCACCAAGGCGAUGAUGGGUAGCCGGCCUGAGAGGGUGAACGGCCACAAGGGGACUGAGACACGGCCCUUACUCCUACGGGAGGCAGCAGUGGGGAAUAUUGGACAAUGGACCAAGAGUCUGAUCCAGCAAUUCUGUGUGCACGAUGACGUUUUUCGGAAUGUAAAGUGCUUUCAGUUGGGAAGAAAAAAAUGACGGUACCAACAGAAGAAGUGACGGCUAAAUACGUG